GGUCAGAACCGGUCAGAUCCGGUCAGAACCAGUCAGAUCCGGUCAGAACCGGUUCUUGUUGGGGAGAUUCAGGCUGUGUGACUGGAACCGGUGGAGUUAAGAUGAUCUUUGGUACCGGAACCAGUUUGACCAUCGAACCCAAGGAAGUAAUUCCGCCGGAUUAUUACAAGCUGAAAGAUAACGACACCACAGUUUGUCUGGCAACUGGAUUUACUCAACACAAUGCAGCUGGGUUUGACAAAGCAAACGGCAGUCAGAUAACAGAUGCCAAUGGGAAACCAACAGGUUACUACAGCCAGGUGGCCUUUAUAGGGGAAACGGAUAAAUGUGGAGAUAACACCACAGAGCCUGUCCAGUGUGACGCCAGUCUGGAACCAGAUGAGAUGGUGAAUCUGGCCUCCAUUACCAUCUUCGGCCUGAGAGUCAUCUUCAUGAAGACGGUGGCCUUCAACGUCCUGAUGACGCUGCGGCUGUGGAUGAGUCAGUUUUCCACAGGAUGCGGUCGCUGAGCGUCAGAGGCGAAGGCGGCUGCGGCUGGCGCCUCUCAGCCCGCUGGGACAGGAAGCCGGCGGGGCGGGGAACCGGGCCAGGCGCCCCGACCAGAACCGGAGCAGGUCUCACACUUCCUGCCGCCGCCAGCAGCAGCUGCAGAAACAUCCAGAAAACACUCAGCAGAGGUUCAAUAAACACUAAACCUUAAUCUGGAGCAGCUGUCAAACAUGAGGCGCAGGGGCCAAAACCAGGCCGCCGGAGCUUUUCCUCUGGACGUCAGGAAAUACGACAAGAAGCUCAACAUGAUUAAUGUCAGGAAGAUCAAGCUAGCAGGCAGAUCCUGGUCACUCUGGGGCCCACAGCAUCACUCCGCCACCGCCGAGCCUUCAGCUGGGUCAACCCUGAUGACAUCACGCUUCGGUCCAGCUGACGAUGUUCUUCAGAUCCGGCUGCCAUCUUGUUUCUGGAUACUAUGACCUUUGACGUUGGCCUGAUUCUGCUGGGCCAGUUCAGAGAUGACCUUUGACCCUCCCCAGGUUGAGCAGCAGCAGCAGCCAUUAAUACAGAAAUCAGUUUUAAUUGUUUUUGUGUCAGAGGUUCAGCAGAUGCUGUUCGCUCCUUUCUGGUGUUUGUUGCUUUGACUAGGCCGACCGCACCGGAAGGCAGCAGCUGAGAGACGAGUCGGUGGUGGCAUCAUCAUCAUCAUCUUCAUCAUCAUCAUCAUCAGCAGCAGCAGCAGCAGCAGCAGCAGCUUCUUUGCGGUCGACCCAGAAUCUGACAAACAUCCGGCUGAACCAGAGAAACUCGACCGCAGAAAGUUUCCGACGGAAAAAAAAAAACCUGCAGCUGCAACUUCCAGGAAACAAGAAUCAUUCAUUCAGUUAUAAAUAUGACAACAUGAACCACAGCAGCAGCUGGUCAUCGCUACACAUUCAGAUCUAUAAUCUGGAUUAAAACUGUCAGUUUGGAACCAGAAUUAUUAAAGCAGGAAGUAAAUCUAGAUGACCUUUGACCUCAGAGGCAGCAGUAAACAGACCAAAGCAACUUUUACUGUGAAUAUCCAUUCAGUGUUUAUGAAAUAUGACAGAACAGAUAAAUGAUGGGAUUAAUCAGAUAAAUAAAAUAUGCUGUCAUAAACACAUUAAAUGAUUUAAUUCUAUUUGCUGAAGGGAAACUUUGAAACACUUUCAAUAAUUUAAGAAGGAAUUUAAUUAAAACCCAGAAGAGGAAAAAUGAGUUUAUACAGAAAUUAAAAAAUUUAAAGUUUUUAACAUGAAAAGAUGAUCAGAGUUCAGAGCAGAGCUGGAGGUCAAGAGGUCAGGGUCGUCUUCAGGACACCGUGACCCUGAGGGACAGACUGAGGGACAGACUGAGGGACAGACAGACUGAGGGACAGACUGACUGAGGGACAGACUGACUGAGGGACAGACUGAGGGACAGACAGACUGAUGGACAGACAGACUGAUGGACAGACAGACUGAGGGACAGACUGAGGGACAGACAGACUGAGGGACAGACAGACUGAGGGACAGACUGACUGAGGGACAGACAGACUGAGGGACUCUGGACUCUCAGGACGUUCCUGCUGCUCUCGCCUGUAAUGUCUCGGUUCUGCCAGCAGGAGGAGCUGCUCCGGAUCCUGUAACGAUUCCCGGCGGAUCUGCAGGAAUCUUUCCUGGCUCCUUCCUGGAGUUCGACUCGUCUCUGAAUGUUUGGCAUCGUUUGUCUCACCUGUCCAGGUGAACCAGCUGUCCUAUCAACUCACCUGAUGCAGAACAUUCAGAGCUGAGUCACAUGAGGAGGAGCAAAGUUUCACCGACUCAGUGACUGAACCGAAGACGAUUCACUGAUCUGGGUUUGGUCUGACCUGGUUUCUGUAAAGGUCAACAGAAACCUUCUCAGUCUCCUUCAGACUGGAAACAAACCAGCAGCAACAAAAGCAUCUGGAAAACCAGAUUCCUGCCACAGGAGAAUCAUCACAUUAUAAAGUUUCCGGACGACUCGGUGGUCGUGUUCCUGCUAAUGGCUGAUCGGACCUUCAGCGUAACAGAAGAGAUGUGGACAGACGUUAGGAAGGUCUCUGUCCCUCCAGGAGAGAACGGUCAGCUAGAGGAAGAGUCCAAGAAUGAAAGAACCUGGAAGGACUGAAAGACAGACUGAAAGACAGACUGACGGACAGACUGAGGGACGCCUUUAGCCAAUCACGGCGUCCUGACGGUCAUUCAGGCUUCAGGUGUGAAGCUGGAGACAAAACAGUUUCUGCUCCCAAACAUCCAGGUCGUCCCUUCAUGCUCUUAAUUCACUUUAGGACUCACAGUGUGAACAGGAUUCAGAUCUGAACCAGUUCAGCUUGGAGCCGUGAAGUUUGACUUGGACUGAACUGAGUGGAGUCGGUGAGAGGCGAACGGAAUGUUUGUUGUUUAGCAAGAUGGCUGCAAAAAAUUAUUAGUUUAACUUAUUAAAAUAUGAGUUGAAUACAACAAGCUACAUGCUAAUAUCUGGAUUGUUGUUUUAAAGACAUAUAGAUUUGUAGAUAUAAUUGCAUUUGAUUUAUAAACAUGACCAGUGAAAACAGUUCAGGCUGGUGAUGCAGAACCAGGUGAGACUUUAAGGGUUGAAGGUCUGACGGCUCAGUUGGAUCAUCUCAUCUUUGUUUGUUGAGGAAGUGAAAAAUAAAAUCUUCCACAGUUCAGCUUCCA